rnacentral:rRNA from 1 species
UAGGGAAUAUUAGUAAUGGGCGAAAGCCUGAACUAGCAACGCCGCGUGUGCGAAGAAGGCCUUCGGGUUGUAAAGCACUUUUUGAGAGGAUGAGGAAGGACGGUACUCUCAGAAUAAGUCUCGGCUAACUACGUGCCAGCAGCCGCGGUGACACGUAGGAGGCGAACGUUAUCCGGAUUUACUGGGCGUAAAGCGCGUGUAGGUGGUUUGGUAAGUAGGGCGUGAAAGCUCCUGGCUCAACUGGGGAGGCCGUUCUAAACUGCCGAACUAGAGGAUGGUAGAUGGAGGUGGAAUUCCGGGUGUAGCGGUGGAAUGCGCAGAUAUCCGGAGGAACACCAGUGGCGAAAGCGGCCUCCUGGACCAUUCCUGACACUCAGACGCGAAAGCUAGGGUAGCAAACGG